AUAGAGCUAUGGGGAUAGAGCUAUGGGGAUAAGGCUAUGGGGAUAGAGCUAUGGGGAUAAGGCUAUGGGGAUAGAGCGAUGGGGGUAGGUGAUAGUGCGAUGAGAUUAGAGUGAUGGGAUAGAGGGAAGGGGAUGCAGUGAUUUGGAUACAGCGAUGAGGAUAUAGAAAAGGAGAAAGAGCGCUAGAAAAAAAGUUUUACGAGGCUUAACUUUAUCUGGGCCAAUGUGUAGAUAAACUAUAGACAUAUUUGUAUAUUUAAAAGUGACAUAAUAUAGAGAACAAAGUAGAUAGGGAGUAGAGACAUUAAAUUCUCUUAGUUUGAGAAACAAAAAGGGUUUAUGCUUGUAUUACGAAUAUAGGUGUACAAAAAAAUAAGAGAAUGAAACGUCUCUAAUUAACAAGUAAAAAUAAAACACACCAAAUCCUAGCUCUAAUCAGUUCUUUAUUCAAAGAACAUGUGUAACAAUGUGAACUCGUACGCUAAUGCUGUAUUCUUUCCAUCUCGAAACUUCAUAUUUUCUGAUCAUCUUGACCCAAUUUCACGACUGCGUGCAUGGAUGUAACACUAUUGGUUGGUUAUAACUUGAACAUGAUUUUGAAGCCACAAUAACAAUUCAUUAUUAAUGUGGUCAUGAAAACAAUUGUGAAGUCCAACAUGAAAAGAAUGCAUCGUAACAACAUUUUAUUGGCGGAGAACUAGAUCUACUUGCGAGUACUUUUCACUGUCGGAUUGGUACACCAAAGUUUCGAGGUGUUUCUCUCCAGUCUGGUUGUCGUUUUGUUUUUAUAAGGUUAGUAUUUAGCAUGAAAUCUUAUGAGGUAAGUGGUAUGUCUUUUCUUCUUUAAACUAACAAGGUCAUUAAACAUACACAAUUAAAAUAUUUUGUCGAUGUCGACUGUCAAACAAGCCCGAAACAUAAGCUCGUAAAUUCAUUUUUAAGGAGAUCGGCAAUUUCUUCGGACGCUCAUUUCGGCCCCUGCUUUUCUGGACCUCUUCCUGGUUUGUUCCAAAUGAAGCUGUUGAAAUAACAAAACAAAUUACUUUUCCUUUGGUCACAUCCGCUGAUGAUCAGCUGCGUGGAGAGGGGGGAACUGCUGUGUGGGCGACAUCGUUCCGACCAUAAACAACGCUCAGGCUUUCAUCUCGCUUGUUCGAGAUAAACCAUAGUCGCUCUACUACUGAAGGAGGCCAACCAAUUCCUUGAGAAAAUGCCUCUUUCAUUUCAUACGGAACGACAUGGUAAAAAUCCCAAUCCCAAAUCAACAGCCAACAAAUUAAAGACACUAAGCAGAAGGUCAACCUCUUAGAGCCAGUCUUGUUUUUCAUUAGCUUACCCAUUGUUACACCAUACUGAUGCUUCAAUCUGGGCGUCACAUUGAGAUGGAGCCUGAAUACCCUGGAGCAUAUCUACCAGCCCUACCCUGGAGCAUAUCUACCAGCCCUACCCUGGAGCAUAUCUACCAGCCCUACCCUGGAGCAUAUCUACCAGCCCUACCCUGGAGCAUAUCUACCAGCCCUUCCCUGGAGCAUAUCUACCAGCCCUACCCUGGAGCAUAUCUACUAUUAUCUACCAGCCCUACCCUCUUGUGGAAAGAAAAAACUAAAAUAAGUAACUUAAGUUCUAUACGUUCUGUUGGGCACGUAGAGAGUGCAGUUCAUCUGUUCCAGUGUCAUCCGGCUUCCCAAGAUGUUAUAUGGCUAGCACAACGAUCAAUCAAAUUAAAAAUGCGAUCAAUCAGCUUUAGUGCACGAGGACACGAACCUGGGGACUUUCGGCUCAAUCAUUAAGUCCACGAGAAUCAUAGUUAAGGUAAGAGAGUAUACCCAUUCAUUUCAUUUGCUAUGUGCAUGCUAGGUACUCCAGCAGCUCCCUUGUUACCUUGCUUAUAUCUACUAACUACAUCUAUCCGUUGGUCUGUCUGUCCGUCUGUCCGUUUUGUCAAAAUCAUGUAUUCGUUAAUCCUCCCACUUUCGAUUCUCUGAUCAAGUUGAAACUUUGACGAUGACAACUCGUGAAUCAUUUUUUUUUAAUGUUAUUACUUCAUUUGUGUUAUAUGUAAAAUGUACCAAGCUAACAGGACAUAAGCCUUGAAAUAAUGAGAGAUAUGACAGUGAUUGAACAGUUGAAAUAACAACAGUACUAAGCGCGAAUGAGACUCUAGUCAACAUGCAAGAUAGCAGACGCGUAAACAUUUCAAGACCUGGACAGUAACUUAUGCAAUUAUGUACACUUAUGAUUAAUUUAUAAAUUAUUGUUGCGAUUUCACUUUAUAUAAGGGAGGUUAUGUUUAUUUAUUUAUAUUUAACUUUUUCUUGUAUUUUGUCUAGACAGAAUGGUGGAAAGACAAAAAUACAUUUCCAGAUGAAGUCAUUAAACUAAGAAGCUCGGUAUCAGAAAAUGAAUUAUUCGAUAGCCAUUGACACCACAUGGAUAGAGAUAUAAAUAGUUUAUAUGGUACAUGUCUCCCACUUGAAUGAUCUACAGUAGAAGCGGAAUCUAUACUUCUGUAAACUCUUCAACGGGUCAAAACAGAAAAAGAUCGAACACUGGUAGGUGGGAACGAUUCUUGAAAACGGCCCUAUCGCUCAUGCAAAGAGUAUCUCCAUUGGACAAUGAAGGAAUGGUGAAAUUGUCAUCUGCUGUGACAAGCAAUAGUUCACGGCACACUACUUUAUACGAGAGGACAACAUUAUUCCAGAACUAUGCAAGUCAUAACCUGAGCUGAUCUUAAACGUACAUACCUGUUAACUUACCUGAAAGCCAACUGUGUACUUAUUAAGUUAGGAAUCCCUUAUGCUAUGUGUCUUAUCAAUAAUGCUAUAAAUAAAACAUAAUAAAGGUCUUUGUCUAUGAAGUCUCUGAUUUGAAAAACAUACCUUUAAAAUCAUUGUCUUGGUUCUUGCUCUUUAGUUGUUUCAGAUACCAUGUUUUAUCAGCAGCUACUCUAAGUAGUGAAAUAGUUGUUUUUAUUUGUUUGUUGUUGUUUUUUUGUUGCUAUAAAAAAUAAAUUAAUUCAUAUGUUUAUUCUGCUACAGAAAUAACAAAAGGCAGUUUUAAAUUCUAUAACUAUUAGCUGAUUUGAAGUGUAAUCGUAUUGCUAAUUUUUAUUUAUUUAGAAAUAUUAUAACAACUCUUUUUGUCUGUCUGUCUGAUAAAAGGUUUGUACGUGUUUUUCCCACCUUACUCAUUAUCGAUCAAGCAUCUAGUUAAUUAAUUGUUUGUAUUAAUUAUUUUGUUUUAUUUGGAAAUAAGGGGAAUAAAUGCUACUUAAUGAGUGAUGUGGAAACACACACAUAUAUAAAGAGACCAAAAGAAAAUCCGCUGCCGAGGACAGACGCAGACAGCGAAAAGAAAAUCUUAAUCGACCACCGGCGGACAAUGGUCAUGCUUGCUCUGGAUGUGGCAAAAUGUGUAGGUCACAGCUAGGGCUGCGUAGCCACGGGAAAUACUGCAUUCCUCAUUGAUCUUCGGACUCGAAGACAAACCUUAUUUUUACGUGCGCAUCAUGGCGUGAAUGUGGAAUGGUGCGACUGCGUGUUGAAAGGGUUAGAGAGGAAGGAAAAUCAAAGAUGGAAUAAUGUAAAGGAGGUUAUUAUUGAUAUGUUUUUUAAUGGUCUCUCAAUAUCAAAGCAUUCAUCAUCUACUAUA